UACGAGGGGUCCUAGCGUUGUUCGGAAUCAUUGGGCGUAAAGCGGGUGUAGGUGGCUGCGCAAGUCAGGUGUGAAAGCCCUGGGCUUAACCUAGGAAGUGCAUCUGAUACUGCGUGGCUUGAGUACGGGAGAGGGCAGUGGAAUUCCUGGUGUAGUGGUGAAAUACGUAGAUAUCAGGAGGAACAUCGGUGGCGAAGGCGGCUGCCUGGCCCAGUACUGACACUCAGACCCGAAAGCGUGGGGAGCAAACAGG
rnacentral:misc_RNA from 1 species